GAUGAAGAACGCAGUGAAAUGCGAUAAGUAAUGUGAAUUGCAGAAUUCAGUGAAUCAUCGAAUCUUUGAACGCACAUUGCGCCCGCCAGUAUUCUGGCGGGCAUGCCUGUUCGAGCGUCAUUACAACCCUCAGGCCCCCGGGCCUGGCGUUGGGGAUCGGCGGAGCCCCCCGUGGGCACACGCCGUCCCCCAAAUGCAGUGGCGGUCCCGCCGCAGCUUCCAUCGCGUAGUAGCUAACACCUCGCGACUGGAGAGCGGCGCGGCCACGCCGUAAAACACCCAACUCUUCUGAAGUUGACCUCGAAUCAGGUAGGAAUACCCGCUGAACUUAAGCAUAUCAAUAAGCGGGGA
rnacentral:misc_RNA from 1 species